AUUGAACGCUGGCGGCAUGCCUUACACAUGCAAGUCGAACGGCAGCACGGGGGCAACCCUGGUGGCGAGUGGCGAACGGGUGAGUAAUACAUCGGAACGUGCCCAGUAGUGGGGGAUAGCCCGGCGAAAGCCGGAUUAAUACCGCAUACGACCUACGGGUGAAAGCGGGGGACCGCAAGGCCUCGCGCUAUUGGAGCGGCCGAUGUCAGAUUAGGUUGUUGGUGGGGUAAAGGCCUACCAAGCCUGCGAUCUGUAGCUGGUCUGAGAGGACGACCAGCCACCCUGGGACUGAGACACGGCCCAGACUCCGACGGGAGGCAGCAGUGGGGAAUUUUGGACAAUAGGCGCAAGCCUGAUCCAGCCAUGCCGCGUGCGGGAAGAAGGCCUUCGGGUUGUAAACCGCUUUUGUCGGGGAAGAAACGCUUCAAGAUAAUACCUUGAAGUAAUGACGGUACCCGAAGAAUAAGCACCGGCUAACUACGUGCCAGCAGCCGCAGUAAAAC
rnacentral:rRNA from 1 species